UUCCAUUUGGUGCUCAAGCACAACAAUUCAUUCAUCCAUUCUUAGUGCAAAAUAAAAAGUUCAUGAGAGAGUUUACUGAUCACAGAAACAAAAUCUACCGAAAACUUAUCACUGGUACGGCCUAAAUCCCGGAUUUGGAGACGUUGGAUGAAUCUAACAAAGGUAUGACUAAAAGAUAUCGUAAAGCACAAAGGAAGAAGCAGAUUAAGAAAGAAUAAAGGCUGGGAGUUAGAUGGUGACUUACUAACAUGAAUUCUGAGAUGGUGAGAAUUAGAGCAAUAUCAUUAGCAUUCAUUUAUCUAAAGACACUGGAUAUUCAACCAAGUACAACAAUUCAGAUAUGGUCCGUGUCUCUACAAGUAUCUGUCUCAAUUAAUUGUUCAAAAAAUUCACCAAGCUUCUUCGCUUCAUUAGACAUUGUCGAACUAGACCCAGGGGACGUCUCAGAGCCCAGCCACAUAUAGGCUAACUUGGCAGAUACCAUUUUCAACCUCGGGGCUCAAAUUCCGGUAACCAUUAAGCUGAUCGGAUAAAUCAAUAGUGAGUUGCUUCAUUUAUUAUAAGAUGGUAACUAGUAACAAUGCUUUUUGCUGAUUUGUUCUGUGUAGUUAAAGCUAGCACUUCUAGGUCCACUUGGAGCUGCCUCGUCAUGAUAUUCAUGUGUUCGUUUUAGAAUUUUCAGUGUUUGGUUGAGUUCUUCCAAAUCUUGCUUGUAUACCAAACGAGCCCCACACUUCUUCACCUUAUUCAAGUCUGCUUUUACUUUUACCCCUCCAAUACAACUAAAGUAAGUCUCAAAUAAAAACUGUUCCUGAUGACAAAUUUCACGAGGCAACUGAAAUGCCCAAAGGUGUUCUGACACAAGAGACCCUAUCAUCUUUGAACAAAUCAUAGGGUACAAGGGUUUUGAUAAAAACUCAAAUUUUAAAUUAAUAUGAUAAAAAUGUGCAGCUGGACCUGGAUUGACCAAGUUUUCCUUAGGAACUUGAAAAACAACACAAAAGGCAAUUCCCAGCCAGUUGGUACAUGAUGUGGGAGGAAGCUCCAUAUUUACUGAGUCUCCCACACUUUGAUUACUGAACCACUCCGGAAUUUCGCUUCCAGGGAAUACAACUUGUGGCUUUCGGUAAUAAUCAUGUAACCAAAGAACUAUUAUAUAUAUGUUGUUGGAAAAAAUUAGUAUUUUGGUUUAUUUGAAUGUUUUGUUUUUUAGGCUUAGCCCGUUAGCAUUAGGGUUUUGAUUUCUUACCUUUUAGGAUUAGGAUUAGUUUAUUAUAAAUAACAUACUUGUUAUUUAGUCGAAAACAAGUUAGUCACGAUGUAGUCUCUUGAGAUUUUGUAGCCAUUUCGGUAUUCUUGUUUGUUUAAUAAUAUUUUUAUUAUUUUGUAAUCUUGUUCGUUGCACACUCUGAUUUUCAACUUAUGUAUGUGUGUGUGUGUGUCUAUAUAUAUAUAUAUAUAUAUAUAUAUAUAUAUAUAGAGAGAGAGAGAGAGAGAGAGAGAGAGAGAGAGAGAGAGAGAGAGUACCUUGUUCUGAGUGGCAAAUUUUAGAAUCCUUGAGAGUAUUGUAUUAGUCCAGCCUUCAUCUUGAACCAAUGCAAUGCAAUUCCGGCAAGUGAAACUAAAAUCAUACAAAUUGGUGAAUCUGCUGCUCAACUUGGAUGUAUCUGACAAACUUCGUAAGGAAGUACAAUCGUCUACAUCUACAUGCAAUUUGCCAUUAGAUGGAAGAGGUGGCAAUUUUUGAAGGCUUUUGCAGCUCGACAGACCAAGAUAAUAAAGCUUAGAAAGGCAUCUAAUGCUUUCAGGUAGACUGACGAAAUUAUUUUCACCAAGAUCCAAUUUUUCCAAAAAGGACAAGCAACCAAUAUCAUCGGGGAUAUCCCCUUCACAGAGUUUACAAUCUGUUAGAUUUAUGGUCCUCAAAGUGCAUAAACGAUUUAGAUAAGAAAACAUCAAACCCCAACAAGGAGGAGGACCAGGAGCACUCUUUCCAAGUCCUAAUAUGCGGAGAAGGCCCCACUUGUCCCUUGCUUUAGCAUACGAUCUGCAUAAUAGUAGUUGUUUGAGAUUUUUCAUCCCCAUAAGCGGCUCUGUCAAAGUGGCUUCCAAUCCAAGAGCCUCUAAGUGAUCCAUGUCUCCUGGAAGUUUGUGGAUUUUUGAGCACUUUCCCACAUAGAGGCGUCUAAGAGACUUCAAAUUACAAAUAGCCUCUGGAAGGUUCAAGAGAUUUUUGCAAUUAAAUAGAUUCAAAUCCUUAAGGCCAACCAAAUGUUCAAUUGAUGAUGGCAUUUUCUCAAUUGCAGUCCCGCUUAAGCGAAGCUUGGAUAAGUUCUUCAUCUGCUUCCCAAAUUCUGGAAUCUUUUUCACAUUUGAGCAGCCACUAAGAUAUAAGGAUUCCAGAGAAUCCAUUUCAACCUCACUUGGGAGGCUCUUAAUGCUUUCACACCAUGCAAGGUCUAGAACUUUAAGUUUUUUAAGGACUGCAAUAGAGGGGUGUAUCUCAACUAAAUUCUUACAUUCAAAAAGAUUCAACUCUACAAGUUUUGGAACACCACUGAAAUCUGGGGUACUGAUCAAAUUUUUGGAGAAGCCAAGAUUGAUAUAUUUCAAGUUGGGCAAGUCCUGUACAACACCGAUAAGGUUUAGAUCCUAUACUUAGCUUUUACAACCUUAAAGUUUAUCCAAAAUAAUAAAUAAAUGAUUAUUUUAUAAUUUAUAUAGCAUUUAUUCAAUAUUACUCUUACCAAUUUUCCCUUCCAAAGCCGAACAAGUUUGCUCUUUCGCAUCGCAAGUUGAGUAAGCAAAUGCGGGUGAAAGCUGGUUGGAAGAAACUUGGAAGGAUAGAAACUCCAGUUUAUAAUUCUCAAGGAACAUGGAAGAAAUUUAGGACCUGAAGAAAUGAUCAAAUUAUUGAAUUCCAGAAACCUCAGUUCAUGCAUAUUAGAGAAGGCUUCCGAAUUCCAGUGCACCUCUUUUGAUUCGGGUAACCGUAAGACUAUGCCUUCAAUAGCACGUGUCCCCUAAUAACCAAGAAGGUAGGAAACGUCAAUUUCACAUACUAAUAUUAUGUUAAUAGAAAUCAUAUCCUUUUUUGAACUUGGUAUUUACAUAAUUUCUUACCGUAUUGGUCAUGAAUACAUGAAAAAUGUCAUUGGGAAUCCACAACCUACUACGUAGACCAGGCUCUUCAGACUCUUGACGAACAAUUGUCCAUGCCAUUUGUUGUAUCAAAUCAUGCAUCCCUAUCAUGUUUCCGUAAUCAUUGUAUAGAAGAGAUCUCUCAAUUAGCAAAUCUAUUAGAAUACAACUAGAAAUUCCAAAAGAAUUGUCUAGUACUUGAAUUACUUGCUUUGUGUACUUCCCUUUGUGGAAACAUGCAACAUCAAGGAAAAUUCUCUUCUCCAUCAACCGGAGUCCAUCAUAACUAACUUUGAGCGAAUAAAAAAUUGUUUGAUUGGGAAUUUUAUGUAGAUUAUCCAACUCACUAUUCCAUGCAUCUCGCCCUCUCGUAUACAAAAAAGACCCUAAAACUUUAAGAACUAAUGGAAGUCCUCUGGCAUAGUUUAGGAAACGCUCAGAGAGUUCCAAAAAGUCUUCCUCGGGUUGGUCUUUUUUGAAGGCAUUCAAGCUAAAGAGCUCAAGAGCUUCUCCAUAAUUCAAUCCCUCAACCUUAUAUGAUGUUGCUAUACCAUUCUGGACGAGCAGACCUUCAUUUCUUGUUGUAAUGAUAAUUCUACUCCCCAUACCAAACCAACUUUGAUUCCCAGCCAGUACUUCUAGUUGGUUUAAUUCAUCCACAUCAUCAAGUACGAGAAGAACCUUCUUAUUGCACAAGCACUUCUUACUGUAAAUUCUUCCCCACUCUUCAUCCCAAAUUUCUUCAAUCUUUUCCUUCAAGAUUGGGAAAAGAAGUUGUUUUUGAAGGCCAACAACAGUAUGAUCUCUUGCACAAACCUCUCUAACAUUGGCAAGAAAACAGUGAACUUCAAAACGAUGGAAGAUUUUGUCAAAAACUAGCUUAGCAAGGGUUGUCUUGCCUAUGCCACCCAUCCCAGUUAUCCCAAUAAAGUGAACAUCAUUUGCAUCAAGAGCUAAUAGCAUAGUUAGUUGCUCGAGCGCGGAAUCAAUUCCGACUAACUUCUGUGAGGAAUCUGACAAAGUGAUUGUAGCUUGCACCUUCCUCCACACACAUUUGGCGAUGUCAUCAAUCAGCUCUCUUUCACACCUGCAAAGAAGAAAAAUAGAAUAACAAAAAAGAGAACAUAAGUAAGCAAUCAAGUAUGGAUGACUAUAUUAAGACAUGGGCAAGUUGUUCAUGCUUGCUUACUUAAAAUUCUUCAAAUCCCACCCAGAAAUUUUCGACACUGUUUUUAAAGCAGCUUUCCACUGAGUCACCUUCAUUUUGUCUUCAGUGCUAGUCAACUUUCCUUCAUGCUUGGCGAAGGCUUCGGCAAAUCUCCCCCUCUGAUUUCCUACGUCAGAGGGAUCCACACCAUAAAAGACUGGGAGAAUUGAGUUCCUGGCUUCCAUGCACUGAAUAAUGUUUGUAAGCUCAGUCAAGCACCAUUUGGAAGAAGCAUAGUUUGGCGAGAGAACAACAAUUGCAGUAUGUGAUUCUUUGAUCGCACUCGGGAGCUCCAGAGGAAUACUUGUUCCACCUGCAAGCUCUCGGUCGUCCAUGAAAGUCAUAAUUCCUUGGCACUUGCACAAUUCGUGGUAUAGAUGGGAGACAAAACCCUUGCGGGUGUCUACACCUCUGAAACUCAGAAACACGUCGUACUUCCAUUGAGGAGCUGAUUCAGAUGAAAGAAGAGAUACAGAGGCCCUUUGCGUGCUCAACGCCAUUGCAAAGUGGCUCCUCACAAUCUGAGAGGAAUGGUAAUUGUCAGCAGAAAACCACUCACACCAAAGUAGGAACGGAUGAUGAAAGAGGGUUUAUCUUCUUUUUUUUUUGUCUCUUUCGCCAAUGGUCUUCGUUCUCUCUAUUUAAUUAUUUGGAUGAUCAAACAAUAUUUAAGUAUUAUAUUACAUUAUCAAGACAUUAAAACAGGAAAGUGAUCAUCUCCAAAUCUCUUCCACCAAGAUCACUGGCUCAUUUGAUCUAGGCAUUUCAAAUAUCAUCCAACGGCUCAUUUAUUUUGAUUCCUUAAAAAUUGUGAUAAAUUUUUGUUGUUGGAUGGAAUUUGAAAGGCUCAGAUCACUUGAUCCAGUGACUUUGAUGGAAGAAAUCCGGAGAUGAUCUCUUUACAUUAAAGUAAACAAAAGAUUAACUAUUUGAUCAUUGAGAACUAAAGCAUCUCAGCACGUGAAAGGAGACUUGACUUCAUAAGUUGACAAUUAAAACUGGAAAAAUAAUGAAAAGACAAAAGUUGACAAUUAAAAACGUGUGAAAUGAGACUUAACUUAAUAGCUAUGAAAUUUCAGGAAAGCAUAAUCUCAACGCCUUGCAAAAAUUCUUGAGAAACUGAAGUAUAGUUUGAAUAAAAUUUCAAGGAAGCUCACUCUUAAUGCGUUGUGAAAAAUCUUUUGAAGUAACAAAAAUAAUUAAAUAAUCAUGUAACAAGUGCAUGUUCGUGAAUGGAAGUCCAGAUAUAUAUUGAAGCAUACUCGAAUACUUUCUGAAUAAACCAGACAAAAUUGCAGGCAUCAUCCGUAUACCAAGAACCAUCAUCCGAAGAUUCACAAUUCUCAUCAAAUAGUUUAACUGAGACAUGUGCUGAUACUUUUGGUGCAGUCAUAUAUAAAGGGUGAAAUGUCGAUUUAAUUCCUAAACUAUCACUUUAGUUAAACUCAAAAACACGUCAUAUUAAAUUGAGGAGUUGAUUCAGAUGAAAGAAAAGAUGCAGAUGCCCUUUGCGUGCUCAACGCCAUUGCAAAGUGGUUCCUCACAAUCUGAGAGGAAUGGUAAUUGUGGGCAGAAUAUCACUCACACCAAAGUAGGAACAGAUGAUGAAGAGAGGUUUUAUUUUUUAAUUUUUUAUAAUUUUUAAUUUUGGUCUCUUUCGUCAAUGGUCUUUGUUCUCUCUCGUUAAUUAUUUGGAUGAUCAAACAAUAUUUAAUUAUAUUAAGUUACAUUAUCAAGACGUUAACGUAAACAAAAGAUUAAUUAUUUGAUCAUUGAGAACUAAAGCAUCUCACCAACUCUAAAUAAAUAAAUACACAGUUGUAUGUGGAGCCAAAACAAAGAACUGGAAAAAAUAUGGGAGGACAAAACUUCACGACUAAAAACAUGUGAAAUGAGACUUGACUUAAUGGUUACGAAAUUUCAGGAAAGCACACUUUCAAUGUGUUGUGAAAAUUCUCGAGAAAUUAAAGUAUAGUUUGAAUGAAAUUUCAAGGGAGCUCACGCUCGACGUGUUGUGAGGAGUCUUUCUAAGUAACAAAAAUAAUUAAAUAGUCAUGUAACAAGUGCAUGUUCGUGAAUGAAAGUCCAGGUAUAAGUUGAAGCAUACUCUUAAAUUUUUCGAAUAAAGCAGACAAAAUUGCAAGCAUCAUCCGUAUACCAAGAACCAUCAUCGGAAGAUUCACAAUUCCAAGGUUGUAAAAGACGCUAGACGCUAAUUGGGCGAUGGACUGGGACCUAGCGCCUAGGCGAUUAGGCGGACUAGGUGGAUUUAUGUAAAUCUAUUAUAUUUCACGUAAAUAAGUGUCAGUUUAUACUUAAAAUAUAAACAAUUUCAUUAUAAAUUACAAAAUAAAAUUAUAUUUAUAUACAGGCCCUUUAAAAAAAAUAAUGGGGACACCCUAUUGACCAUUAGAUUUGGCUUUAAUGAAAUUAUGUGGUUGAGAUUAAAUCACAGGCCACAGAAUUUCAUUAAAGCCAAAUCUAACGGUCAAGAAGGUGUCCCUAUUUUUUUUGAAAAAUGGGAAUCCGUUCCCUUAAAGGCUUCAGAUAUAUAUAUAUAUAUAUAUAUAUAUGAAAACAUACGGAACAAACAUAUAAUAUGUGUUCAUUUAAGUUUACAACAAGUCUUUUGCAAUUUAUUGAAAAAAAUCAAAUGCAAAAUGAAAAUGAUCUAUUUUUUGUCUAAAUGAGUUGCAACCUAGGCGGGUGCCUAAGCGGUCUAGGAGGGCGCCUUAGCAGGUGUAGGUACCAUUUCUUAAUUCUCAAACACCUAGGCAUGAGGUUGUGACUAGCUGCUUAGUCCCUAGGUGGGGCCUAAAUGGAGCUAGGCAAAGAUUUUUAAAACAGUGCACAAUUCUCAUCUGCUUAGUCCCUAGGUGGGGCCUAAAUGGAGCUAGGCAAAGAUUUUUAAAACAGUGCACAAUUCUCAUCAAAUAGUUUAACUGAGACUUAUGCUAAUACUUUUGGUGCAGUCAUAUAUAAGAAAUGUUUCGACUCCUUCAUGCUGUAGCAAAAUUCUCACGACAAAUAUAACCAAUUUGAGUUCCCACAGUCCAUAAAGAAAGCAAAUAUCUCAAAUAAAAAGCAACUAAGCAACCUAUUUUGAAUCCAUUAACCGGAGUGUUUGAUGAUAGAACGUUCCACUUAUGGGUAUGUGUAUACCCGUUUAUGCAAUUACGCAAUAGACAAACGGUUAUACGAGGUAAGAGCUUAAAUGGUUAUGAAUAAAUAACUGCAGUUACUCUCCCGCCAUAACCACUGCUCAUCUAUACCUUAUAAUUUGAUGAGUAAUUUUAAGAGAGUGUAACUUUUUUUUCCCCACCAUUUUUAAACAUGUAGAGAAACAUCAAGGUGAUGGAAGGCAAUCAUUGAAGAUGGGUGGUGGCUUGCUGCUGCUUUCUCUAAAGGAAAAAGCAAGGGGACUACAUUUAGUAGAUCACUUCUAAACUACCUCUUUAAUAGAAGUGGACUAUAUGUCUAUUAGAGAGGUGUUUAGAUGCGGUUUACCAAAUGGGAUCUCUUUAGUAUCACUAAUCUCAAAAGUUAACACUAGAGGUGUAUUGUUCUUGUUGAGUCAUUACAAAUUAUUAUAUUCAAAGGGUGUUGUUUGUACCAUACUUGACCAAUCCCGAAACUAUUGAGCACCAGUCAACGUUAUACCAUCAAGGACCCAGAAGAGUUUCCCUCCAACCAGAAGGCCAAUCACAGCGCGACACGUGUCGACAUCAGAAGCCAAUCAUAGCGCGACACGUGUCAACAUCAGAAGCCAAUCACAACACGACAUGUGUCAAUGUCAGAAUGAAACUAGAAACUCUCUUCUAUAAAUAGAGAUCAUUCUCUCACAAUAUUUCCUAAUGUCAUUUGUACUAAAUCAUUCACUAGUACUCACUAAAGGAGAGCUUGAACCUAUGUAUGUGUAAACCCUUCACAAUUAAUGAGAACUCCUCUACUCCGUGGACGUAGCCAAUCUGGGUGAACCACGUACAUCUUGUGUUUGCUUCCCUGUCCCUAUCCAUUUACAUACUUAUCCACAUUAGUGACUGGAGCAAUCUAACGAAGGUCACAAACUUAACACUUUCUAUUGUACCAAAGUCCUCAUUGAUUUUGUGCAUCAACAUUUGGCGCCGUCUAUGGGAACGACACUUAUUCCCACUCUUUUCAGCUUUGUUAAGCUAGUUUCCACCAUUCGUACACUCUCUUUUGACCAGGCAUCCUUUUCCAACAUUGGGAGCGAAGGAAGCCACAGUACACCGAAUGACACCCUUCUUGCACCUGGUGUGAAGCAACGAAAGAAGGAACAAAAGAAGUUUGCUCUUCAGGCUAAAGUCGAUGAGCUGGAAGCUCAGAACAACAAGAUAGCGAUGAAGAAUGAGAUCCUCCAAGAGUAGUAUGAGAAGGUCUUCAAGAUUCUCCACGAGGUUAGAUAUACUAAAACACACUAGCUUAUCACCCCUGUGGAAGUCAACCAUCAACUGGGUGCCCCCCAACACGGAGGGUCAUUUGCCCUCGACAUGGGUAUUCAUGUUGAGGAGCGAGCUACUCAUCGAAAUGUCGACCAACAUAAGACUUCUCUCAACCCAGCUGCUUCGACCCGAAGCAGAAUGAGUGGAGGAAGACACCUCCUUACGAAAGGAAUGAAAGGAUCGAAAGCCGUCUUUCGUGACUGUUGAGACUUCCUAAAGCAACGUCGAGACAAUACCAUCUAUGUAAGCUCGAAGAUCAAUGACCCAAGGGUCUUUGAAAGACUCGGUCCCCUUCCAUGUCCCAGGCUGGCUACCAAUUUGGGGAAGGGGCAACAAGUCCUAGAGAAACAUGAAGGUAUAGGGGACUCAGAGAUGUUCCGACAGACAUACCUUGGAAGUCAGUACGGCGAGUCCAAGGAAAAAUCACAUGCUCUUGAUCAAACCUUCCUACUUCCAAUAGGAGAUGGAGAUUUACGAAAGAAAGCUCCAACGGUACAUGACUCUACUUAGGACCCUCUUGUCUUACAGCUUCUUAAGGAAGUAAACAAGCUGAAGGCCAAACAACAAGCUGAGAUACGUGAUUGGAACCAACCUAGGCCUGGCUGUCUUACAAGGAGAAUUCUCGACACCUCCCUCUAAGGAAAGACAAAGCAGAAGCUUGGCUUGCAACUCUAUACUGGAAAGGAGGACCCGAUUGAACACCUUAACCUCUUUGAGUCCACCAUGGUAUACCAACGAAGAGCGAUGUCUUCUUUUCCCUUCCACCCUCUCUGGCAGAGCUCUAAACUGGUAUUGUCGUCUUCCACCUGAGACGGUAGACUCAUUUGAGGAAUUGAGAAAACUGUUUGUUUCUCAACACAUUUUCCAGACCGAUCGCUUGCACUCUGCGGAUGACUUGUACACCAUACGCCAGAAGCCAGACUAGUCAUUACGUACGUAUGCUAGCCGCUUCAGCCAUGAGUAUUCCCGUUGUGCCAAGACAAACGACAAGACUGUCCUCAAAGCCUUCACGGUAGGCCUACGUGACUGUUUCUUUAAGUACUUGAUCAAUGCCAACACUUGGAAGACUUACUCUGAGGUGAUGGCGCAUGCUUAUAACCAUUCAUCUUCCGAGGCAAGGACAUACCAAGAGAAACCCCCAACAACCAUCCCCUAUCAGCAAGUGGGAAGUGGAAACCAGACCCAUCCAAAUGAGAAGACCUCAACCUUCUUUCACGGCAGCUGUGCCUCCCCCUGCCUUACUUGAUACUUUGCCAAGUCAACAGACAUAUCAAUCUCAGGGCAAAAGGAAAGAUUUCCAUCCUCACUAGUCUCAUUUUAGUAAAAGGAGCAAGGGACACUACCGCGAUAAUCAAGGGUAUCGCCACGAUAAUCUUCGAUCCCAGGCAGUCAACACAGUGGGUCAAGCACGUGUUUGGACAGGCCCUACCCCGAGGUAUAAGGCAUACACACCUUUGAACGCCACAUGUGUGGCCAUUUACCCUAGCAUAUCACACCUGAUACCGAAGCCAAAGCCGAGGCACCCGGAUUACAAGCCCACGAAGAACACGGGCACGUUUUGCUGCUACCAUGAGCAUAACGGCCAUGACAGCGAGAAGUGUAUCACCCUUCGUGAUCAUAUUGAAACUUUGGCACGUGAAGGAAAAAUUGAUCAAUUCCUCCUUCACCCUCCAAAGGGUAACCGUAACCAACGCCAGGUGAAUGUGAUAUAUUCCAUAAGUGGUGGCACACCCAUAUCUAAAUCUUCCAACAAGGCUAUGAAAAACAGUGAACGAGCUUUAAGGCCUGACCACCAAGUGUUUCACGUGGAAGACAUCAGGGGAGGCAAGUAUUAAAAGCCUAACUGGGAUCCAAUAUGUUUCUACUUUGAGGAAGAAAGAGGUAUCAUCUACCAUCACAACGACCCAUUGAUCGUGGAAGCUCACAUAGCUAACCUUGAAGUACGACGAAUCUUGGUAGACACGGGGGCUUCGGUUAAUAUUAUGUUUGCUGAAGCUUUCAGGGCACUUAAUAUAGCUGAACACUUGCUCGAUCGUUCGAUUUCUCCUUUGAUAAGCUUCUCCGGUGAUAUCGUACAACCUUUAAGGAGCAUACACUUACCUUUCACCAUUGGUACAGGCCCUUACACAGUUACCAUUACCACUAACUUCCUGGUGGUUGAUUGCCCAACGGCAUACAAUGUCAUCUUAGGACGCACAGGCAUCAAUGAUCUCAAGGCCAUGGUAUCUACACAUAUGUUGUUGAUGAAAUUUCCAACCCCCUAUGGCAAUGGUUACAUUAGAGGAGAUCAACUUAGUGCACGAUCAUGUUACAACACUUCGAUCAAGCAACAACACCUGCCUGUGCCCAAGGAAACCCUUUCUAUACACGACCAAGUCAUAAAGACCAGCCUAGACUAAGCCAACUUGAAUCUUCACAUUGGCAACACUCAACCCGACGAUCCUCGAGACGAUUCUUUCACCCAGCAAGCACAACAUGAUGAAGAGUUGGAGAAGGUUUCUAUCUCAAAAGAUUAUCCAUAACGCAUGGUGAAGAUUGGCACCACCUUGUCACCACCCAUUCGGUUGGCAUUGAUCUCUUUUUUGUAAGAGAAUAAUGAGGUCUUCGCUUGGUCAUACGAGGACAUGCCAGACAUCUCUCCCAAUAUCAUAUGUCAUCGCUUGAGUAUUGACCUUGAGUAUUGACCCUAAGACCAAGUCGGUGAGACAGAAGCGAAGAUCUUAUAACGUUGAACGAUACGAAACAAUGAAGGCAGAAGUUGAAAAACUUAAAGGCAUAGGCUUCGUCCGUGAAGUCAAUUAUCCAACGUGGGUAGCGAAUGUGUUCCUUGUUAAGAAGAAUCCGACCAAGGAAAGUCUCUUGCUCCAAAACUUCGCCCUUACUUCCAAGCACACUUCAUCAUCGUGCUUACCAAUCAUCCUCUUCGACAGAUACUCCAAAGUCCUGACACUUCAGGACGAAUGAUAAAAUGGGCGAUAACAUUGGGUGAGUUUGACAUCUUCUACCAACCAAAGCAAGCUGAGAAGGCCCAAACAGUGGCAGACUUCAUCGCCGACUUCACAUAUCCUAUUGACAUUGUUUCUACGCCUAAAGAAAUGGUUUCAUUACCCUCGGAAGCUCAAAAAUAGAACCAACAACCCCAACAUGAAGUAUAUAUGUUGAUGGCUCGUCCAACCAACAAGGUUGUGGAGCAGGACUAGUCCUUACGACCCCUGACAAAGUGGCGAUGGAGUAUGCUAUUCGUUUCAAAUUCAAGGCGUCAAACAAUGAGGCUGAAUAUGAAGCCCUCUUAGCAGGCUUACAUUUGGCCAAACACCUUGGGGUUAAACGAAUUGAUAUCUUCAGUGACUCCCAAUUGGUUGUUAACCAAGUCACCAACAACUUUGACGCUAAAGAGCUCCAUGGCAGCAUAUCUGGCACAAACACAAUUGUUGCUCAAGCACUUCCACUACCAGAUCACCCAAAUUAAUCGAGCAGCAAACAGUCAUGCAGAUGCUUUGGCUCGCCUCGCCUCAGCGGUGGAAGACAAGUUUGGGAGAAAAAUUUAGGUCGAAUUGUUGGCAGCACUAAGCACCAUGGUUGCGGAAGUGUGCAACUUACAGCAGGGGGAUAGUUGGAUUACCUCGAUUUAUAGAUUUUUUGCUCAUGACACCCUUCCAAAUGACAAAGUGCAAGCUAAGCAGAUUCGAUACAAGGCUACCCGUUACUUGAUCAUUAAUGACCAACUUUACAAGCGGGGUUUUAACCUACCAUACCUAAGAUGCCUUACACCCGCAGAGGUGGAAACUAUCCUUCGGGAAAUACAUGAAGGAGUCUACGAAGAUCAUGUUGGAUCUCGAUCCCUAGUACACAAGGCUUUUCACCAAGGAUAUUACUGGCCAACACUCCACCAAGAUGCCAUCAGAAUAUCCCGCUCAUGUGAUAAGUGUCAACGCUACGCAACUAUUCCUCACUCCCUCCUGAGCCGCUCACUCCUAUGAUUAGCCAUUGGCCCUUGGCCCAAUGGGAACUUAAUUUGAUUGGCCCAAUGCCUGCAGGGAAGGGCAAGGUUCGCUAUGCAAUUGUUGCAGUUGACUACUUCACAAAGUGGGCCGAAGUAGAACCUUUGGCAACCAUUAUUGAGGCAAAAAUAGAAGACUUCAUAUGGAAGAACAUCCUUUGUAGAUUCGGCAUUCCCAAUGCGAUAGUCACUGACAACGGGCUACAGUUCGAUAACAAUAAGUUCAGGAUGUUCUACUCUAAGUUCAACAUCAACUUAUGUUUUGCCUCCCCAACUUAUCCCCAGUCUAAUGGACAAGUUGAAGCCAUCAACAAAAUAAUCAAGCGAACUUUGAAAACCAGCUUGGACGAGGCUAAAGGUUGUUGGCCAAAAUUUGUACCCCAAGUUCUUUGGUCAUACCGCACUUCGUAUCAGACAUCAACAGGAGAAACCCCAUUCUCACUUACCUUUGGUACAGAGGCAGUUGUCCUAGUUGAGCUUGAGCAAGCAACGUUCCGAGUCCAGAACUACGUGCAAAGCGAAAAUGACAAACAACUUACCUUCAACUUAGAUCUAGUCGAGGAACAUAGAAACCAGGCUCACUUGAGAAAUGUCACCUACAAGCAGCGCAUCUCCAACUACUAUGAUUCAAGGGUCAAACCUCGUUAUUUCAAAGUGGGGGACUGGGUAUUGAAGAAAACAUUUCUCUGCGACAGAGUCCCGAUUAAAGGAACACUUAGUCCAAACUGGGAUGGACCGUUUGAAGUUGUUGGCAUCAGUCGCCUUGGCUCCUACAAGCUAAGAAGCUCCGAUGGCAAGACCCUUGGCCAUCCAUGGAACGCUGAUCACUUGAAGUACUAUUACAAGUAAAGUCACAUUGUACAAGUGUUAAGCUUCAGCUGUUCGGUAUCCUAUGUAACGAAGACUAUUUGGCAUGAAUUCAAUAAAAAGGUGAUUUAGACAACUUGGUCCUAAUCCUCUUACAUUCCUAGUAAUGAAACACUAGGGUUCAAAGUUUCAACAUGAAUGCUUCCAACAUGAAACAAAGUCUAUGUUAACAAGACUAUAUAAAUAUACGAACAGCUUCACAGUAUAUUCGUUCAAUCAUACAUUCCAACACAUUCAUACAUAAGCCAACUGUGCUUCGAAAGGGUUCAACAUACUUUGUGUCAUUCGACACUUGCUACAAUGUGCCUCGACAUCUUGCCUUUAUUCUCACCAACCAGAUGAUGAAAUGUGAAGAAGGAACUCAUCUUCAUGCCACCAACCAGGUGAUGAAAUGUACAACCUGUACUCUCGGUGAUGAAAUGUACAACCCGUACUCUUCUUCAUGCCACCAACCAGGUGAUGAAAUGUACAACCCGUACUCUAAUAUAAUUUGGUAACUUGCCACUCAUGCCACCAACCAGGUGAAGAAUGAACUCAUCUUCAUGCCACCAACCAGGUGAUGAAAUGUACAACCCGCACUCUCCUUUAUGCCACCAACCAGGUGAUGAAAUGUACAACCCGUACUCUAAUAUCAUUUGACAACUUGCCAUUCAUGCCACCAACUAGGUGAUGAAAUGUAUAACCCUUACUCUCCUUUAUGCCACCAACCAGGUGAUGAAAUGUACAACCUGUACUCUCCUUCAUGCCAUCAACCAGGUGAUGAAAUGUACAACCUGUACUCUAAUAUCAUUUGGCAACUUGCCACUCAUGCCACCAACCAGGUGAAGAAUGAACUCAUCUUCAUGCCACCAACCAGGUGAUGAAAUGUACAACCCGUACUCUCAUUUAUGCCACCAACCAGGUGAUGAAAUGUACAACCCGUAUUUUCCUUUAUGCCACCAAUCAAGUGAUGAAAUGUACAACCCGUACUUUAAUAUCAUUUGGCAACUUGCCACUCAUACCACCAACCAGGUGAUGAAAUGUACAACCUGUACUCUCCUUCAUGCCACCAACCAGGUGAAGAAGGAACUCAUCCUCGUGCCACCAACCAAGUGAUGAAAUGUGAUGAAAGGUGAUGAAGGAACUCACCUUCGUACCACCAACCAAGUGAUGAAAGCAACUCACCAUUCAUUCCACCUACCAGAAGACGAGUGGUACAACUUGUACAUGUGAACUCCUAGCAUUCAUAAAUAAUCAAAAACCCUUAAGCUCAACAACUUAACUAGGGGAGCACUUAUGCCCAACAAGAGUUAUAGUCACCAAUAAAGCCUUAUUGCAAGCUAACAACAACUUCAGUGCAUGGCAUACGAAGAUUAAGCUAUUCAGCCCUCUUGCAUCUGCUUCAGACAUUUCCCAUAUGUAACAAUGCAAACACUACAACUCGUAGAAAGCUUCACACAUUCUUGAUCAAGACAGUGUGAAGCAAAACCAAUUUAUGGUGCCAACAAGAGCUUCAUCAAAGGAGUUCAACCACAAUUCUCAAAAGCUUCACACACUCUUGAUCAAGACAAUGUGAAGCAAAACCAAUUUAUGGUGCCAACAAGAGAUUCAUCAAUGGAGGGCAACCACAAUUCUCAAAAGCUUCACACACUCUUGAUCAAGAUAAUGUGAAGCAAAACCAAUUUAUGGUGCCAGCAAGAACUUUAUCAAUGGAGGGCAACCACAAGUCUUAAAAGCUUCACACACACUCUUAAUCAAGACAGUGUGAAGCAAAACCAAUUUAUGGUGCCAACAAGAGCUUCAUCAAUGGAGGGUAACCACAAUUCUCAAAAUCUUCACACACUAUUGAUCAAGACAGUGUGAAGCAAAACCAAUUUAUAGUGCCAACAAGAGCUUUAUCAAUGGAAGGCAACCACAAUUCUCAAAAGCUUCACACACUCUUGAUCAAGACAGUGUGAAGCAAAACCAAUUUAUGAUGGCAACAAAAACUUCAUCAAAGGAGGGCAACUAUAACUCGUAGAAAACUUCACACACUCUUGAUCAAGACUGUUCAAAACAAAUUCAAUUUAUAUGGUUCGUCCAAACCUUCGACUACUACAAGGUGAGGCUUGCAUCACAAUCUCUUGCUCAACAGUGCGGAAGCAAAAUUUGUAUAUGUUGUCUCUCUCACAUUUUCAAAUUUCUAGUUUCCAAAAAAAAAAAUUGGGAAAUUCAACAAAGCUUCAUCAAUGGAGGACAACUACAAAUUCUCAAAAGCUUAAUUCUAUCUUGAUCAAGAUAGUGUGAAGCAAAAUCAAUUCAUGGUACCCAACAAAGCUUCAUCAAUGGAGGACAACUACAAAUUCUCAAAAGCUUCACACUAUCUUGAUCAAGAUAGUGUGAAGCAAAAUCAAUUCAUGGUACCCAACAAAAGCUUCUACUCCAAAGAUUCACCUACAAAGCUUCAACUCCAAAGCUUCACCUACAAAAGCUUCAACACAAAAGCUUCACCUACAAAGCUUCAACUCCAAAGCUUCACCUACAAAGUUUCAACACAAAAGCUUCACCCACAAAAGCUUCACCAACAAACGCUUCACCUACAAAAGCUUCACCAACAAAAGCUUCACCUACAAAAGCUUCACCUACAAAAUCUUCACCCACAAAAGCUUCACCUACAAAAGCUUCACCUACAAAAGCUUCACCCACAAAAACUUCACCCACAAAAGCUUCACCCACAAAAGCUUCACCCACCACAAAAGCUUCACCUACAAAGCUUCACCUACAAAAGCUUCACCAACAAAAGCUUCACCCACAAAAGCUUCACCCACCACAAAAGUUUCACCUACAAAGCUUCACCUACAAAAGCUUCACCCACAAAAGCUUCACCCACCACAAAAGCUUCACCUACAAAGCUUUAACACAAAAGCUUCACCUACAAAAGCUUCACCCACAAAAGCUUCACCCACCACAAAAGCUUCACCUACAAAAGCUUUACACUAUCUUGAUCAAGAUAGUAUGAAGCAAAAUCAAUUCAUGGUACCCAACAAAACUUCAACCUCAAAGCUUCACCUACAAAACUUUAACACCAAAGCUUCACCUACAAAGCUUAAAAUAUAUAUAUAUAUAUAUAUAUAUAUAUAUAUUUUCGAAAAUUCAAAAAUUCGAAAAUUCGAAAAAAAAAUUGCCUAGGCCUCCUCUUCUUUGGGCCUAACAACUUUCAUAACAAAUAUAUAUGAAUGAGGAGUUUUGGGCUACCACUUAGAAAGGAAAUGCCUCAUUCGUCAACUCCCUCGACCGGAGACUUGGGGGACUCCUACCAUAUGCUACUGCACCUUGAUACUCGGAAGUCUCACGACCACUCAGUGACUUGGAUUUUUCAAGUCUCCAACCGAGAAGUUUUUCUCACUCGGGAAAUUAAGGGAGCACUACCUCAACAUACAUGCUUCACUCAUAAAGCUUCAACAUACAAGCUUCAACAAAAGAAAAAAUUCAAAGAAUUUAGUGAAGAAGGCCUUGGUGUAUUUAGCAUAAUACGUUGAAAUGAAGUAAAGCUUGUUUGUUGAUACCUCCGCUAAGUUACAAAUAUGUACAUAUACAUAAAUCAAAAUAAACAAACAAGAGGGAGUAUUCACAAAGGUUGCUCUGGAGAAGUCUUAGCAAUCGGCAGAGUCCCAAAAAGAGAAGGCACCGAAGGGUGAUUAUUCGAAGCCUCAGUAUUGGGCAGAACCCCAAAAGGAGAAGGCAUUGAAGGUUGAUCAUUUGGAACUUCAUUACGCGGUACAGCCCCAGAAGACGAAGGCAAUAAAUGCCUUUGGAACAAACCCACAAACCUCUGAUGAUCAAGUAAAAUCUGACCAUCAGAUUCCUACAGCUAGUCAAGGUUCAUCUUCAUGUUUGUAACGUAGUCAUGUGCGAGUCUGUGCAACUGUUUAUUUUCAUGCUUGAGCCCUCUGAUCUCCUGUUUGAGACUUAUCACUUCAGCCGCCAAUGAUUCAACUUGGCGGGUUCGAGCAAAUAGGCGUUGGGCCAUAUUAGAAAUAGAACCUGCACACUGAACACUGAGAGCCAAAGAAUCCUUAACAGCCAACUCAUCAGACCAUUUGGAAAGUAGUCUGUUAUCUUUGGGUGUGAGAAUGUUCCUUGCCACCACCACAGCUGUCAUAUCAUUCUUUAUCACAGAAUCCCCAACAGUAAUUGGACUAGUAGGGGAUAAGAAGGAUGAGCGCCAUAUAUUGUCUUGAGAGGGCAUGACUGCCUCUUCACCAAAGUUCAAGUCAAAAUGACGGUCGGAUGGGCCAGACAUUCUUAGAAGUAAUGAAGGAGAAAUGAGGUGCAAUAAAUCUUUGAAGUACAAAAAUAAGGAGAAAAUUCUUACAACCAAUAACUCUAUGAACGUACUUCUUGCACACAAUUGGUGCCCCUAUAAAAGAAAGCGCAACAGGGCCAUUGGUUCAAAAAUCGAAGAGGCACCACUCUUCGGAUUUCGAGAAGCAGAUUUUCCUGAGUAAAAUAUGUCGACAAUCCUUACACGGAACAACAGCUCCUCAGGUACCACUGAUAACUUUGCCAAAGAUCUUUGACAAAGUUUAGACACAUAAAUUUUGAAGGUCCAGGUACCCUACUAUUACCCACAAGGGUAAAGGAACAACACCACUACUUGAUAACUGGAAAGUCCAUAUGUGUGUCAACCUCCGUGCUCCAUGGCAAGGCAGACUGGCAAAAAUGCCCAACCUUUACUCACAUUCGAGAAAACACUCCCAACAAGAUUGCUUGCUCAAAAAUUGAAGAGGCACACUCUCCGAAUUUCGAGAGCCAGACUCCUAACAGGAUUACUUGCUCAAAAAUCGAAGAGGCACUGCUCUCCGAAUCUCGAGAGCCAAACUCCCAACAGGAUUACUUGCUCAAAAAUCAAAGAGGCACCGCUAUCCGAAUCUCAAGAGCCAGACUCCCAACAUGAUUGCUUUCUCGAAAAUUGAAGAAGCACCGUUAUCUUAAUCUUGAGAGCCAGAUCCCCGACAGGAUUGCUUGUUCGAAAACCGAAGAGGCACCGCUUUCCGAACUUCGAGAGCUAGAUUUCCUUGGAUAAAGCUUAUCUGCAAUCUUCACACGUAACAUCAGCUUUCCAGAUACCACAGACCACUUUUUCAAAGUGCUCUGACAAAGUUAAAACAAGUGAAUCUUGCAGCUCCCACUACAUUACUAUGACCGAGAAGGGUAAAGGAACAACAUUACCACUCGUUAUUGGGACAAUUCCUAUAUAUGUCGACCUUCAUCCUCCACAGCCAGGUAGACCUGCAAAUAAAAAAAAUUCUUAACUUUUCUUCACAUCCGAGAGGGCACUUUCAGCAGUCUCUCGAAAUACUCAACUUCUUUUCCCCCCCGAUAAUACCUCUGCAAACAAGCCACACCAUAGCAAGAGUAUCUCAUAUCAUCAGGGUUAAAAGCAAAAGUAUACCAUAUCAUGAUUUUCCAUGUCUUUUCCUUUGGCCUUGUUCUUACCUACAAGAUAAGGAGAAAAGAGCAAUCGGUCAGCACUUAGAAUCAAGCUUCCAGUCAGGAACUGACUGCCUGGAACCCCUUGCCUGAUUACUUACCUGGCAUUGCUCUCGAGUACUCAUCUUCAACAUCUUAUGCUUCCAGAGAAGAUAAUGCAUCUGCCUGAGGAACUGAUAGGGCAAGUGAGAAGGAUACAAGGAAGCAUGUGGAGCUAAACGUAACAGAACACGUGCCGAUACAUCCACUACUGUGUCAACAGCAAAAGUAUCCCAUAUCAUCAGGGUCGAUCGUACUCUAGAUUUGAUAGACUUGUUUUGACUCUCAAAUUCUUGAGUCGGCCUUAUACUCUGGAGGAAACCAGAAAACCCUCCAGCCCAGUUUAAGAAUAAGCCUGUGGAAAGUUACUUCUUUAAAAGCAAAAGUAUCUCAUAUCAUCUCUUCUCCAUUUGCUUCUCCUUAUCCUUGUUGCUGUUUAUGACACAAGGAGAAAGAGAACAAUCAACCGGAAGCCGAAGUCGAACCUCCGAUCCAGGUUGCUUGCUUGGAAGUCUGAUUGCUUACCUUGUUUGUUACCUCCUUUGGCAAAUCUCCUAGCUCGACGACUUGGGGGACUCCUACUAUAGGGGUUGUAUCACACUUGUCCAAUCCCGAAACUAUAAGUAAGCUUCAAGUGAAAUUGAUACAUUACCUUAUGCAUCUUCAUCGGUUAAAGAUACCACCCCUGGAUGGAGGAAAAGUACUUCCAGAGAAGAUGCCACAUCUACAUAUGAGACAGAUAAGGCAAGUGAAAAUGAUACCACACUUUGGUACUUAGAAGUUUUGUGAUUACUCAAUGGCUUGGAUCUUACAAGUCCCUAACCGAUGAGCUUCCCUCACUCGGGAACUUAGGGGAGCACUAUUUGUACCAUACUUGACCAAUCUCGAAACUACUGAGCACCGGUCAACGUUAUACUGUCAAGGACCCAGAAGAGUUUCUCUCCAACCAGAAGGCCAAUCAUAGCGCGACACGUGUCGACAUCAGAAGCCAAUCAUAACGAGACCCGUGUCAACAUCUGAAGCCAAUCACAACACGAUACGUGUAAAUGUCAAAAUGAAACUAUAAACUCUCUUCUAUAAAUAGAGAUCAUUCUCUCACAAUAUUUCCUAAUGUCAUUUGUACUAAAUCAUUCACUAGUACUCUCUAAAGGAGAGCUUGAAGCUAUGCACUUGUGUAACCCUUCACAACUAAUGAGAACUCCUCUACUCCGUGGACGUAGCCAAUCUGGGUGAACCACGUACAUCUUGUGUUUGCUUCCCUGUCCCUAUCCAUUUACAUACAUAUUCACAUUAGUGACCGGAGCAAUCUAGCGAAGGUCAUUAACUUAACACUUUCUAUUGUACCAAAAUCCUCACUGAUUUUGUGCAUCAACAUGUGUUAUUAUUAACAUUUCAAAAAUCUUAUUGUGCGUCCUACUAUCAAUUUUUUCAUUUUAAAUAUACAAAAUUUUGAAGUAUACAAUGAGAUAUUUGGAGUCCCGAUAACAACUCCAAUUCAAAAUAUAUACUCAUAUUUGGGGUAGUUCUAUCCUCCACCUAAUAUUGUUAGAAAUGCUUCCUUAUUUGAAUAAUGGAAACGGAAGUACUAGAGGUUUCGCUCUUUAAUGCAUCCUUUAAAUCGACCACACUUUUAAAUAUUUUCAUGUGGCAUCGCAUGAUUGAUUUUGAAACCGCCACCUUAGCAUACGUAAUGCAUCUCUCAGCAGAGAUGCCACGUAGCAACUCGAUUGUUGUGAAGGUGAAGAAUUGGAUUAGGAUUUAGGAUUGAAUGAGAAUUCUUCAGAUAUAAUAUUAGGAAACAUUUUUGUUCACCACCCUUAACUAUAGGGUAUGCUCAUCACCCAUCUAAUAGCUUUGACAUGUGUCAUUUGACUUAACUAUAGUUAGUUUUUAAUUAAUUAUAUUAAAUGAGAUAUGGUGCACUUCACUCAAGGAGGCCAAAUUUUUGGGGUGUUACUAUCCCCACCCCCUUAUUUACUUCUCACACAUUCGUUGUUAAUUUAUGUCCUUUGAUCGCCAUCACUUCAUCCGUUCCGACAAUCGAAAAUUAAGUUGGUGAGUGCUACUUGGGUUUUUGUUGAUUUCUGAAAGUAUGCUUUUAUAUUACCAUUGGAUUAGUUUUUGGUGACUUUUGAUCACUCUAUUAAUUGGGUUUUCAUUUCAUGACACUACAACAAAAUUGGUCUUUUGCUGUGCACAAAGAGCGUCGUAAAUGGUUAUUUACAGCUUUCCAUUAUAAAAGUGUUUUGGCCAACGAUUAAAGUCGUUGGAAAUGUUAAUAUUUAAGGAAGAUAUGGUGAUUUGUUGAAGGGGAAUGAAAUUAUAAACUAUGAUUACGGUUUGCCAUUAUAAUGAGAAUGGUGGGUGAAUAUGAAUGAAAUUAUGGAAUGAAAUUUUUGAAUUCAUUUAAUAUAAAUGCUUUCCCAACUGAGUUUCUUCGUUUGAUGAAAAUAAUUGACGGGAAAGGUUGAUAAUUAUAAACUUGAUUGGUUGGUUUACCAUUAACGCAUUAUGGUAUGAAAUUCCGAUAUUUUGUUAGCCACGUUAGUCAUGGCUUGAGAUUUGGCAUGUGACUUUGUCAAUGUGAGAUAAGUUAGUUCUAUGACUGAGACUAUCUUUAAAUUGAUACAUGAACUGGUUGCAUAAUCUGUUUUGGUGAGAAAUUGGGAACAAAUUGGUUGAAUGUGACAUGUUGACUAAAGUUUAACCCUUCAUUUGUAAGAAAGAAAAUAACUGCUGCCAUGAUAGCUAUUCUUGAUUCAAGGAUUGUUUUCACAACUUUCACAUUGAUACCUAUGAUCUCAUUCCUUGUGUAGUAAAAUAUGACAUAGGUAUGCUCUAAAAACAACACUAAAGGAAUGUCAAAAUUUGUUUUUGAGCAAAAGUAACCAUAUAACAGAUGAUAUGGAAAUAAUUUGAGUCAAAUUUGAUCAAUGACUCAUAAUUCGGUUCAUUUGUGAUCACUUGGUAUUCUUCUUUCCAUUACCUAGUGAUGUGAUUGGAAAUUCCAAUAAUUUUGGUUGGAAUUUUGGAACUUGAUUUGUCAAUUUUAAUCGUUGGUUGAAAUUUUAAUAUUCAUUUAGCCAACAAGACUUACGGCUUAAGGUGGAUAUUAUUUUGCAAGGGAAUGUGGCUAGAAAUUUUGAGAAAGAAUCGUAGUUACGACUAUGUAUAGCCAAUGAUGGUGGAUGGUUUACCAAUGAUUGUAAUUAUUAUGUUAGUAUAUGUCUAACCAAUAGUAAAUGUGAUUUGAUAAUUUAGUAAUUAUUUUAAGUUAUGAAGACUGCGGCUUGAUGUUUGAUAAAUAUUUUGUCAAAGUGUAUGGCUAGAAUUUAUAAUAUUUAUUAUGCUAAUAAAUGUUGCUGGGAAUCUGAGUAUACGGGUGAGAAUCAUGAUGAUCUAUCUGUUAAUUUAUUUGUUUUGAGUUGAAUAAACUCGUAGACUGAGGUUAUGAUCUUAUUCACCUUAAAUGGAAUAAUGGGAAAUGCUUGUAAUUACAAAAAUUGGUUGGUAUGGUUGCCAGAAUUAUGAGUAUAUUGAUGAAUUCUUGUUAGUAGUGCCAUUCUUUGUGAUUGUGCAAAGAUUGGUGGUGAAGUCGUGCUGAGACGAUGAUAAUUGUAUUUGUGAGUUGUGAUUCAAUGUUGUCGAGCUUGAUGUUAAUUAAAUUUGAUUAUAAUUAAAGAGUAAAUGCCAUUUCAAAAUUGUCAUUCGGUUGAAUUGUGGCAUUGGUGGAUAUGGAAUUGAUACUAAAAUUUCGAGGAUGAAAUUUUUUUAAGGGGGGAAGAAUGUGAAAUCUCAUUCCUGGAUUUCAUUAUUAUAAUCUACGUAUUGGUAUUAUAGAGAUUUUAUAUUAUUUUUCGAGAAAUUAAUUAUUUAAAAUCCGUAGACCAUUUGAGGUCACAAUUUAUAUUGUUGAUAUCGAGAUCACAAAUGCAUAGGCGAAAGCCGUUUACGAGUCCGGAUUAUAACGGUAUAGUUACGGACGUUUGAAGUUGUUGCUAAAAGAAAAUGAAUGAAAAGAGAAGAAAAAACCACAGGAGUGGCUGAAAGAAAGAAGGAAAAAAAAAAAAAAGCCACGGGAGUUGCGAGAGAAAAGGAGAAGAAGAAGAAAAAAAAAAAGGGAACAUACCCCCUCUUUUCGCCAAUCAUCACCUGAAAUCACCACCACACUCCUUCUCCUUCGAUAUUCAUUCAAGAUUGGACGAAAAUUGGGUUGAAUUUGGUGAAACUCGCACCAGUGGGUGCAAGGGUUCCUUGUCUUCAAUCCGCCAUUUUGGAAACGAUUUCCUUCGAUCUCCACCACCAUUGGACUCCCCUUGAGCCUUGGAACAAACACUAGUACAAAAACAUGUUUGCGCGACGCAGCAAAUUUCGUCGCGCAAAGUAUAUUUGCGUGACGCUAAACACAAAACGUCGCGCAAACAGACUUUGCACGACGAAGGCUUGCGUCGCGCAAAGGCUGUUUGCGCGACAUUUUAUGUGUUGCACAAAAUUUUGGCGCCAAACCAUCCCAACUUUAUGUGACGCAGGUGCACCUACGUCGCGCAAAACAGCUUUGUGCGACGUAAUUGAACCUACAUCGCACAAAGCUGUUUUGCGCAACGUAUGUGGUGUCGCGCAAAGUCGACGACUUUUUUUUUCUAAAAUAACCACACAUAAGGGCCUUUUUCUUCACACUCAACCUCUCUCUUUCAGACUCUCCAUCUCUCUCAACCUUCACCAUCUUCACCUUCAAGAAUUGUAUUUAUUUGAUUAAUUAAUUAACUAUUUAUUGAUUACAUGUAUGUUUGGAUUUUUUUUAUUUUUGUGUGUUUAUGUUUUUCUUUAAUUAUCUUUGUCAAUGCUUAUUUUUAAGAAGUUGAGUUUUGGUUUUGAACAAUUGAAUGAGUAGAAUGAAUGACUAGGAGUAUGAAGGAUUUUGAUAGGUUUAGGGAAACAAAAGCUAAGAAACUGUAAGCUGCUAAGUUAACUUGAUCUAAUUUAGGGAUAGAUUGAUGUGUGCUAAAAAAUGAUUUCAUUUCUCACCAAAUUGGGAGGAGGAAACUAGAAUGUUAGAGAUUUAGAGAAGAAGCCAGUUUAUAGCUUUGUGAAACCACUAUUCUAUUACGUGGUUAGCAAUCAUUUUAGGUGUAGUCUCUACCCUUUACGAUUUUGAAUACGUGGUCUCAUCAUAUAGGUCCUUAAACAAUAAUUUUAAGGCAGGAGUGGAAGAGGUAUACAAUAAGUUAAAACUGUGGAACAUAGGAAAAUAAAAAAUAUAAAAAAAAAAACUUUGCGCAACGCAUGUGUACCUCCGUCGCGCAAAGUUUUUGUUUUUUUGUUUUUUUUUCCUUUUGCUUUUCUUUUGGGGUUCUUGCAUUGCCUUUUUCUUUUGUGGUAGCCACUUGUGUAAAUAUUUUAAAUUGACGAUCGAAUUAGUUCCUUGUAUUCAUAUAGGAUCCAAGAGUGUAGCUGUAAAAAAUCAUCAAAAUCGAAGUUAAAAUAACCGUUAACUCGUGAUUUUUUUCUUUUAUAACCGUCGAAAGGUUUUGUCCCUUUACUUGAUCUCUAAAGGUUUGUUUUUUACCAUUUUUGGCGUAUGCGAUCUCAAAGCAUAUACAAAUAAGUUUGAUGAUUGGAUCGUUGACACUGGUUUUGUACGAUGUGUAUCCCAUUAAAACAAUAGAUUCCCUAAUACUUAUAUUUUAUUUAUACUUUCAUCAAGUAUAACAUAAGAUUUUGUGGUAUCCCCUUGUGUAAAUGUUUUAAAUUGACGAUCAAAUCAGUUCCUUGUAUUCAUAUGGGAUCUAGGAGUGUAGUUGUAAAAAAUCAUCAAAAUCGGAGUUAAAAUAACCGUUAAAUCUUGAUUUUUUUCGUUUAUAACCAUCGAAAAGUUUUGUCCCGUUACCUGAUCUCUGAAGGUUUUUUUUGCCAUUUUUGGCGUAUGCAAUCUCAAAGCAUAUACAAACAAAUUUGAUGGUUGGAUCAUUGAAACUAGUUUCGUACAAUGUGUAUCCCAUUAAAACGAUAGAUUCUCUAAUACUUACAUUUUAUUUAUACUUUCAUCAAGUAUAACAUAAGAUUUUGUGGUAUCCACUUGUAUAAAUGUUUUAAAUUGAUGAUCGAACCAAUUCCUUGUAUUCAUAUAGGAUCCAGGAGUGUAGCUGUAAAAAAUAUCAAAAUCAGAGUUAAAAUAACCGUUAAAUCGUGAUUUUUUCGUUUAUAACCGUCAAAAAGUUUUGUCCCGUUACCUGAUCUCUGAAGUUUUAUUUUCUGCCAUUUUUGGCGUAUGUGAUCUCGAAGCAUAUACAAACAAAUUUAACGGUUGGAUCGUUAAAACUAGUUUCGUACAAUGCGUAUCCCAUUAAAACGAUAUAUUCUCUAACACUUAUAUUUUAUUUAUACUUUCAUCAAGUAUACCAUACGAUUUUCCGGUAUCCACUUGUGUAAAUGUUUUAAAUUGACGAUCGAACUAAUUCCUUGUAUUCAUAUAGGAUCCAAGAGUGUAGCUGUAAAAAAUCAUCAAAAUCGAAGUUAAAAUAACCGUUAACUCGUGAUUUUUGUUUUAUAACCGUCGAAAAGUUUUGUCUCGUUACUUGAUCUCUGAAGUUUUGUUUUUUGCCAUUUUUGGCAUAUGCGAUCUCAAAGCAUAUACAAAUAAGUUUGAUGAUUGGAUCGUUGACACUGGUUUUGUACGAUGUGUAUCCCAUUAAAACAAUAGAUUCCCUAAUACUUAUAUUUUAUUUAUACUUUCAUCAAGUAUAACAUAAGAUUUUGUGGUAUCCACUUGUGUAAAUGUUUUAAAUUGACGAUCGAAUCAGUUCCUUGUAUUCAUAUAGGAACGAGGAGUGUAGUUGUAAAAAAUCAUCAAAAUCGGAGUUAAAAUAACUGUUAAAUCUUGAUUUUUUCGUUUAUAACCGUCGAAACGUUUUGUCCCGUUACCUAAUCUCUGAAGGUUUGUUUUUGCCAUUUUUGGCAUAUGUGAUCUCGAAGCAUAUACAAACAAAUUUGACAGUGGGAUCGUUGAAACUAGUUUCGUACAAUGCGUAUCCCAUUAAAACGAUAGAUUCUCUAACACUUAUAUUUUAUUUAUACUUUUAUCAAGUAUAAAUAAGAUUUUGUGGUAUCCACUUGCGUAAAUGUUUUAAAUUGAUGAUUGACCCAAUUCCUUGUAUUCAUAUAGGAUCUAGGAGUGUAGCUGUUAAAAAUAAACAAAAUCGGAGUUAAAAUAACCGCUAAAUCGUGAUUUUUUCGUUUAUAACCGUCGAAACGUUUUGUCCCGUUACUUGAUCUCUGAAGAUUUUUUUUUUCCAUUUUUGGCGUAUGCGAUCUUGAAGCAUAUACAAAUAAUUUGACAGUUGGAUCGUUGAAACUAGUUUUGUACAAUGCGUAUCCUAUUAAAACAAUAAAUUCCAUAACACUUAAUUUUAUUUAUACUUUUAUCAAGUAUAACAUAAGAUUUUGUGGUAUCCACUUGUGUAAAUGUUUUAAAUUGACGAUCGAAUCAAUUCCUUCUAUUCAUAUAGGAUCCAUGAGUGUAGUUGUAAAAAAUCAUCAAAAUCGGAGUUAAAAUAACCAUUAAAUCUUGAUUUUUUCGUUUAUAACCGUCGAAAAGUUUUGUCCUGUUACCUGAUCUCUGAAAGUUUGUUUUUUUCCAUUUUUGGUGUAUGCGAUCUCGAAGCAUAUACAAACAAAUUUGACGGUUAGAUCGUUGAAACUAGUUUCGUACAAUGCAUAUCCCAUUAAAACGAUAGAUUCUCUAACACUUAUAUUUUAUUUAUACUUUCAUCAAGUAUAACAUAAGAUUUUGUGGUAUCCAUUUGUGUAAAUGUUUUAAAUGGGUGAUCGAACCGAUUCCUUGUAUUCAUAUAGGAUCCAAGAGUGUAGCUGUAAAAAAUCAUCAAAAUCGGAGUUAAAAUAACCGUUAAAUCGUGAUUUUUUUCGUUUAUAACCGUCGAAAAGUUUUGUCCCGUUACUUGAUCUUUGAAGGUUUGUUUUUUUUCCAUUUUUGGCGUAUGCAAUUUUGAAGCAUAUACAAACAAGUUUGACAAUUGGAUCGUUGAAACUAGUUUUGUACAAUGCGUAUCCCAUUAAAACAAUAGAUUCCCUAACACUUAUAUUUUAUUUAUACUUUCAUUAAGUAUAACAUAAGAUUUUGUAGUAUCCACUUGUGUAAAUGUUAUAAAUUGAUGAUCGAAUCAGUUCCUUGUAUUCAUAUUGGAUCCAGGAGUGUAGUUGUAAAAAAUCAUCAAAAUCGUUGUUAAAAUAACUAUUAAAUCGUGAUUUUUUCGUUUAUAGCCGUCGAAAAGUUUUGUCCCGUUACUUGAUCUCUGAAGGUUUGUUUUUGGCCAUUUUUGGUGUAUGCGAUCUCGAAGUAUAUACAAACAAAUUUGACGGUUAGAUCGUUGAAAUUAGUUUCGUAAAAUGCGGUAUCGCAUCAAGUUCAAUAGUAUAUAUAUUUAUUAAGUAGAUUUAAAUUUAUUUAUGUUUUACAUAUAAUACUUAAGAAAUUGAAUGAUAUGUAUAUUUAUUAAGUAGCUACCAAUUUAUUAGUCAGGUUUUUGUUAGUAAAAUAUAUUAUUAUGGGUUUUAUGUAAAAAUAAUUAAAUUUGAAGUGAGUAAAGUCACAUUUUUAGUAAUUUUUAUAAUAAUUUCUUUUAAAGAAAAAAUACCUUGUGCGACGCCUUUAUGCUCGCACAAAAACACUUUGCGCGACAUCGAAUGGUAUACCUACGUCGCGCCAAUUUUGAAUAUUUUGGCACAAGUGUAAAAAAUAAGCGCCAGUUUUGAUAAUUUUGGACAAAAUCUUCCCAGACCCCUUCGCUCUUCACGCCCUCCUCUUCUUCCCAGACCCUUUUUCUCUCUCUCUCACUUGGCCUCUCUCUUCCGUAGCCUUCCUCCUCUUCGCUCAUCACACCCUCUUUCCCGUAGGCUUCCUCCUCUUCGCUCAUCACGCUCGAACCCCAAAUCUUGAACCCCAAAUUGCACCAAUCUCGAACCCACUGUCGGUUGUCUCUCUCCCUCUUAUUCUAAACGACGGGCAGCCACCACCCCCUUCGUCGUGCUCGUCUCUCUCCUUGAAAGUAAGUCUAAUUACAAAUUAUGGAAUUGUGAAAUUAAGGAUUUUGAUUGUGAAUUGAGAUGAAUUUUAGAAUUUAGGGUUUUAAUUUGGGAUAAAUUACUAGGGCAUGGGAUGGAUUUCAAGGUUUAAAAAAUUGUGAAUGGGAAUUAGGGUUUUAAUUUUGAAAUGGGGAUUGAAUCAGGUUUUUAUUUGGGAUAAAUUAUUAGGAAAUGGGCUAAAUUUCAGGGUUUAAGAAUUUCUCUCUAUGUAUGUUAAUAGUUAUCGUUACAGUUUAAGAGACUGGAAUCAUUGUAGCCGUUCAAGGCCAAAAACUAACUGAAAUAGCUGUCAUGAUCGAUACAGGGGAAUUUGGUUUGUAUUUAUAAUUUCUGUCCUGGAUUAUGUUAGGUUGAUUAUGUGUGUGUUAUCAUUGCUUCAAGAAGAUUGUGUUAAUAGUCAAAAAAUCGUGAGCAUAGUACAAUGAUAUCUGCACUGUAUGGGUAGGAGAAUUUAUAGAAGGAAUGAGGGUUCUAGAUAUCAUUAAAAGGCCAUUACAGAUUCUUUUUGACAAUACUGCUACAGUUUUCUAUUCUAAGAACAACAAGAGGUCUUCAGGAACCAAGCACAUGAAUAUCAAGCACAGAUUGGUCAGGGAAAAGGUCAAGACAUUUACAUUGGUUCAUUAUUUAUGGAAUUAAUUUCGAGCUUUGAUAUGCUGAGUUAGUAGGAGUAUGAAAUGGUUAUAGUUCGAGUUAAAUAAGCUAGUUUUCUCACAGAACCUUAAGUUAUAGUUUGUUUCUAAAUGGUUUGAAUUCAUGCAUUUAUCUUCAUUGUUAGUCGUUUUUGUCUAGUUUUAAUUACAUGUCUUGUUUGGUGAAUAUAUCUAUAUCUGCACUUGAUGAAAUUACAGUUAACCAUCUUAGUAAAAGGUUCCUCUUUUAAAUUGCACUUGUAAUUACCAUACCAAAAUCUUACAGUGGAAUCUCAACAUAAAAAACUGAGAUAAUUUGAUUAUCCCCAAGCCCCAAACGCCCUCCCCACCCCCUUCGCCUCUUUUGUGCUCCUUUGGCUCCUUUUUGGUCGUUUUGUCUCUUCAUACUUUGGUCAUGUAUUCAUAUAUUUCUGGUACAUUGUUGUAGGUGAAUACACACCUCAUGCCCCGCCCAAUAUUACUUACUAGGCAUGGAGAGAGUAAGGAUAAUGUUAGAGGCAGAAUUGGAGAAGACAAUCCUUUGAGGUUUGUCUUUGCUGUUGAUUAUCUUGAUUAACAACACUGGUUUAUUCAUGUUAAAAUAUGCAAAGUAUAGUAACCGCUCAAACUUAUCUGAUCCUUAAUUAUUUUCUCGUUUUUUUACACUUAAGUAUGCUGCUAUUCAUGUUUCUAUUUGCUAACAUACAAUGGUGUUGCUCCCGCCACAGUUUCAUUUCAGUCUAUUAUACAAUUUGGUUUUGCCUCAUUAUAAGACCUAUUCCUUUGAAGGAAGAAGUGACAACCCUAAGGGGUCAGCUUGCGGUCCAUGGCGAGCAGGUUGAGGAGAUGAAGGCCUAUGUCGGGCACAUGAGAGAUCUUGUACGAGCCAUACAGAUGUCCGACCUCCAAAUCUCGCUACCAAUACCUAAUCUUGCUACAUCUUCAACCUUCGAGCCAUUUCACUCUGCCAAUACCCAGUAGCCAUUCCACUUAGACAAUUACUUGUAGUUUUUUCUUUUUUUGUUCAGACAUCUUGUAUGUAUAUUUUCAUAUAUUUUAUAAUUAAAUAAUUUUCUUUGGUUAAUUAAUUAUUGUUUAGAAUUUAAUUACAAUAUUAUUAAAAAUUAAAAAAAAAUAUUUUUGACCAAAACAAAAAAAGGGGUCUCUUGUGCGACAUACGGUGCGUCACGCAAAGAGGCUUUGCGCGACACAUCGUACGUCGUGCAAAGUGGCUUUGCACGAUGCAGGACGUGCGUCGUUCAAAGCAGCUUUGCGUGACGUAGGGGCAUGCGUCGCUUAAAGCCUCUUUGCGCAACGCAUGUUACUUCUUCAUCACGCAAACCUUACCGUCAUUGCUUUGGCACGACGGUUAGUGCGCGACGAACGUGCGUCGCGCAAACCCUUAGGCAACAAUUUUUGACUUUGCACGACGAAGUACCUACGUCGCGCAAAGUGUUUUUUCUACUAGUGAAAGCCCAAUCAGUUGUAGGGGUGAUGAAACACCAAGGAGAUCGAAUUGAAGCACAUCCAAUUUCUAGGGUUUCGGCGGAUUCGUCGUGAAUUGAGGUGUUUCUCGACCAAAUUCAGGUUUAACCCUUCACUUGUUAAUUAAAUGUGCUUUUUAUUAAAGUGUUAUUUUAUUUUUAGCAUCGAUCUAUGUUUAUUAAUUCUGAUUCGACUAUAGCUUGGAAAUGUUUAUGAAAUGUGGUUAGAUAUGUAUGAUCAGUAUGAUGUGUAUGAUUGUUUUUAGGACGAUGUGAACCCAGAAUCUUAUGAGAAGUAUUAUGUAUAACUUUCAUGCUUGUAUGAUAAAAUAGUUAGUGGUCAUGAGAAGUUGAUAGUGCAAGUGAUUCCGUUGAGUAAUGGUCCGGAAUCGUAUCCUUGUUUGGAUUCCGUUGAGUGAUGGUCCGGAAUCCCUUCUACUUUGCUAUUCCGUUGAGUGAUGGUCUGGAAUCAUAUCCUUGUUUGGAUUCCGUUAAGUGAUGAUCCGGAAUCCCUUCUGCUAUGCAAUUCUGUUGAGUGAUGGUCCGGAAUCGUUUCCUGGUUUAGAUUCCGUUAAGUGGUCCAAAGUUGCAUCACUUGACUUGUUGGUUUCUUGGAUUUGAGAUGUAGGCUUGGCUUAACUGUAUCACUCUAGCCUUAGUUUUAGAAUAUUUGUGAGCAAUGGUUUUGAGAAUCUUAUGAAUUGAAUUAGAAAAGUUGUUGGACGUUUAGGUGACUCAUUCAGGAUUUCCUAUGAUUCGAUUAUGAUUUCAUAAAGUAUGAAUUUAGAAGAUAUCGUUAUAGUUGUUAUUAUUUUGGACAAAUUAGUUAAUUAAUGUGGCUAGAGAAUUGUAUUGUGCUUCGUUGGUUCCUUGAUAUGAUAUGUUGUUAAUUGCAGUAUCAUGUUGUGACAUAAUGACUUAUAUAGAAGAUUGAAGGGAAAUCAUGAUUUUCAGGUGGGUUUGUUAUGUAACCCUGAGUCUAGUAAUUUCAUCCUUGUCAAGUUCUAUUGAUUGAUUGAGAAAUGUUAUGCCUUUCGGCUUAAACGGACUGUGACAUAUGUCAAUUAUAGUGCAUGACGAACUACGAAUGGCUUGAUCCCUGUUUAGGGUACAUAGGCAAUCUAACGAGGAGGUUAGAUGCAACCAUAAAGCAUACAAAAAAUUACUAUGCGAUUCGAUUAUCGAAUUAUGCUCUACCCAUAUCCGGGAGGCGGGGUAUGAUAGAUACGAGUAUUAGGUGACGUCACGUGUCGAUCCUAGACGUAUGUCGGGAUCGGGGCGUGACAGAAGUUAUGAACAGCUCUGAAAAUACAGAGUGGGGUAAGGCUAUGGAUGAAGAAAUGAAUUCUCUUGUGAAGAACAACACUUGGGAGUUAGUUCAAUUGCCUCCCAGUAAGAGAGCUAUUGGCUGCAAGUGGGUGUAUACUAAAAAGAAGGUCGUCCAGGAGAAGACAGUGUAAGAUUCAAAGCACGAGUGGUAGCAAAAGGAUAUGAACAAAAGGAAGGUAUUGAUUAUAAUGAAGUAUUUUCUCAUUUUGUGAAGCAUUCAUCUAUUUGUAUUAUGUUAGCCUUUGUUGCACAAUUUAAUCUUGAACUAGUGUUAAGACAACUUUCUUACAUGGAGAUCUUGAUGAAGAAAUUUACACGUCUCAGCCUAAUGGGUAUCAGGUAACUGGAAAAGAGAAAUGGGUUUGUAAAUUGAAUAAGUCUUUAUAUGGAUUGAAGCAAUCUCCAAGACAGUGGUAUUUGAAGUUUGACGAAUUCAUGAGAGGUCAACACUAUUUAAGAAGUCAAUAUGAUCAUUGCGUUUAUUUCAAAAAGUUGCAAAUGGGUCUUUCAUUUAUUUAUUACUCUAUGUUGAUGAUAUGUUUGCAUCGAAGAAUGUUAAGGAGAUUGAAAAGUUGAAAGCACAGAUGAAGCACAAUUUUGAGAUGAAAGAUCUUGGUGAAGCGAAAAAGGUACUCGGUAUGGAAAUUACUCGUAACCGAGAAAAAGGCUUGGGGUAUCUUACACAAAAGCAAUAUUUGUGUAAAUUGCUUCAAUGUUUUGGUAUUAAUGAUGCCACCAAACCUGUAAGUACUCCAAUGGCUCUUCACUUUAAGUUGAGUGCUUUGUUAUCUCCAAAAAACAAUGAAGAGAAGCUGCAGAUGAAGAAUAUUCCAUAUUCUAAUUUGGUUGGUGGCUUGAUGUAUACUAUGGUAUGUUCUCGACCAAAUAUUGCUCAUGCCGUUGGUUUGGUUAGUCGCUAUAUGCACAAUCCAGGAAAAGAACAUUGGCAAGCAGCUAAGUGGAUUCUAAGAUACCUACAUGGGACUAGAGACGUCGACUUAUGUUUUCAGCGAAGUGAUAGCAGUUUUGAGAAUUUUGUGGUUGAAUAUGUUGAUUUUGACUGUGCUAGAGAUUUGGAUAGAAAAAGAUCAACUACUGGCUACUUAUUUACCAUGGCCAAAGGACCAGUUAGUUGGAGGUCUACACUACAAUCCACAGUUGCUUUGUCAACAACGGAGGUCGAAUAUAUGUCUAUUGGAGAAGCUGUAAAGGAGGCCAUUUGGAUACAUGGACUGAUAAAGAAUCUAGGAAUUUAUCAAAAGUAGGUGGAGCUACAUUGUGAUAGUCAAAGUGCUAUUCACUUGUCAAAAUUCCAAGUUUAUCAUUCGAUAUCGAUGUUUGGUUUCAUUUUAUUCGUGAGAUUUUUUUUCCAAAAGAAAGAUUAUUCUUCAGAAAGUUCCAACUGCGGACAACCCAGCUGAUAUGUUAACUAAUGUGCUCAGACCUGCCAAGUUUGAGCAUUGUUUAAGCAUAGCUCAUAUACUAUGUGCCUGAAUAUGUUUGUGAUUACGAAUCUUGCCAAGGUGGAGAUUGUUGACAUGUGGCUCGAUAUAAAUCUUGGUCAAUUACUUUGUAUUGGUUAUCCUUGUUUUUCUCUCCAUCACAAACUUGUUUAUGGCUUUACGUAUUAGAAGGCAAACCAUUUGUUUUGUAAUAAAAGGAGCUCACGUAGAAAUAAUUUGUGUGAGCCAAUUUGUGAGAUUCUUCUUUGUACAUUUGUUAUCUCAAUCAGUUAAUAAAUUGAGAGUUAUUUCUUUCAUUUUAUUUGUUCCAUUUGGUGCUCAAGCACAACAAUUCAUUCAUCCAUUCUUAGUGCAAAAUAAAAAGUUCAUGAGAGAGUUUACUGAUCACAGAAACAAAAUCUACCGAAAACUUAUCACUGGUACGGCCUAAAUCUGGGAUUUCCAGACGUUGGAUGAAUCUAACAAAGGUAUGACUAAAAGAUAUCGUAAAGCACAAAGGAAGAACCAGAUUAAGAAAGAAUAAAGGCUGGGAGUUAGAUGGUGGCUUACUAACAUGAAUUCUGAGAUGGUGAGAAUUAGAGCAAUAUCAUUAGCAUUCAUUUAUCUAAAGACACUGGAUAUUCAACCAAGUACAACAAUUCAGAUAUGGUCCCUGUCUCUACAAGUAUCUGUCUCAAUUAAUUGUUCAAAAAAUUCACCAAGCUUCUUCGCUUCAUUAGACAUUGUCGAACUAGACCCAGGGGGCGUCUCAGAGUCCAACCACAUAUGGGCUAACUUGGCAGAUACCAUUUUCAACCUCGGGGCUCAAAUUCCGAUAACCAUUAAGCUGAUGGGAUAAAUCGAUAGUGAGUUGUCUGCAUUUAUUAUAAGGAAAACUAAUGAAAAGGGCUUGAAAACUUUGAGUUUUAAUGAUAAGGACAAAAUAAAGGGUAAAGUGAAUAGUACUAGGAUUGACUUUUUAGUGUAAAAAUGUGGUUUUUCGUUAAAGUGAACAGUACCGGGUGCUUUUCGUUAAAGUUCCCUUUAUUAUAAGAUGGUAACUAGUAACAAUGUUUUUUGUGGAUUUGCUCUGUGUCGUUGAAGCUAGCACUUAUAGGUCCACUUGGAGAUGCCUCGUCACAAUAUUCAUGUGUUCGUUUCAGGAUUUUCAGUGUUUGGUUGAGUUCUUCCAAAUCUUGCUUGUACACCAAACGAGCCCCACACUUCUUCACCUUAUUCAAGUCUGCUUCUACGUUUACCCCUCCAAUACAACUAAAGUAAGUUUCGAAUAAAAACUGUUCCUGAUGACAAAUUUCACGAGGCAACUGAAAUACCCAAAGGUGUUCUGACAUAAGAGACCCUAUCAUCUUUGAACAAAUCAUAGGGUAAAAGGGUUUUGAUAAAAACUCAAAUUUUAAAUUAAUAUGAUAAAAAUGGGCAGCUGGACCUGGAUUGACCAAGUUUUCCUUAGAAACUUGAAAAACAACACAAAAGGCAAUUCCCAGCCAGUUGGUACAUGAUGCGGGAGGAAGCUCCAUAUUUACUGAGUCUCCCACACUUUGAUUACUGAACCAGUCCGAAAUUUCGCUUCCAGGGAAUACAACCUGUGGCUUUCGGUAAUAAUCCUGUAACCAAAGAACUAUUAUAUAU
rnacentral:lncRNA from 1 species